GCCAGUGUUGCUCAGUGAUUAGAGCAUCAGCCUGUGCACCAAAGGGUCAUGGGUUCGAUUCCCAGUCAAGGGCA
rfam:Myotis lucifugus cont2.68273, whole genome shotgun sequence.